AAUAGAUACCCUGGUAGUCCACGCCGUAAACGAUGAGUGCUAAGUGUUAGAGGGUUUCCGCCCUUUAGUGCUGCAGCUAACGCAUUAAGCACUCCGCCUGGGGAGUACGGUCGCAAGACUGAAACUCAAAGGAAUUGACGGGGGCCCGCACAAGCGGUGGAGCAUGUGGUUUAAUUCGAAGCAACGCGAAGAACCUUACCAGGUCUUGAUAUCCUCUGACAACUCUAGAGAUAGAGCGUUCCCCUUCGGGGGACAGAGUGACAGGUGGUGCAUGGUUGUCGUCAGCUCGUGUCGUGAGAUGUUGGGUUAAGUCCCGCAACGAGCGCAACCCUUGAUCUUAGUUGCCAGCAUUUAGUUGGGCACUCUAAGGUGACUGCCGGUGACAAACCGGAGGAAGGUGGGGAUGACGUCAAAUCAUCAUGCCCCUUAUGACCUGGGCUACACACGUGCUACAAUGGAUGGUACAAAGGGCUGCAAGACCGCGAGGUCAAGCCAAUCCCAUAAAACCAUUCUCAGUUCGGAUUGUAGG
rnacentral:rRNA from 1 species